rnacentral:misc_RNA from 1 species
GAUGAAGAACGUAGCGAAAUGCGAUAAGUAGUGUGAAUUGCAGAAUUCCGUGAAACAUCGAAUCUUUGAACGCACAUUGCGCCUUCUGGUAUUCCGGAAGGCAUGCCUGUUCGAGAGUCAUUAACAACCGUUUCGAUCCCUUUCUUUCAGAAAUUACAAAGAGGAAAAGGGUUUGGUUAUGGUGGAGGAGGGAAAGGGAGCGUUUAGCCUGUAAAAAAAGAGGCUGUGUUCCGCCUCCCCCCCAAAAUUGUACAGGCGGUCGUGUGCGCCCACGCAUCGAGGUGUUGUAAAAGCUGCCACGGCACUUUUCACCUGUGCAGUGCGAGAUUGGCCAGCCGGUUUAAAAACCCCUCCAAACAAUCAAAGGUUGACCUCGGAUCAGGUAGGGAUACCCGCUGAACUUAAGCAUAUCAAUAAGCGGAGGA